UGACAUACCUGGCAGAAGAGACAUCAUAAUCACACAGGUGAUUUUCCCAGGGUGAGAUUUAUCCAUUGCACUCUGGGAUGUGCUAACCAUUGCAAUUUCCCCAAAUGUGCAAAACUCAACUGCAUAAUUUGUGGUAGUGGGAGAAAAAAAUA
rfam:Erinaceus europaeus unplaced genomic scaffold scaffold00814, whole genome shotgun sequence